UAUAUCGCCUUUUGAGGUUAUU
rnacentral:miRNA from 1 species